UACAGAGGUCUCAAGCGUUGUUCGGAUUCAUUGGGCGUAAAGGGUGCGUAGGCGGCGCGGUAAGUCGGGUGUGAAAUCUUGGAGCUUAACUCCGAAACUGCAUUCGAUACUGCCGUGCUUGAGGACUGGAGAGGAGACUGGAAUUUACGGUGUAGCAGUGAAAUGCGUAGAGAUCGUAAGGAAGACCAGUGGCGAAGGCGGGUCUCUGGACAGUUCCUGACACUGAGGCACGAAGGCCAGGGGAGCAAACAGG
rnacentral:rRNA from 1 species